rfam:Glycine soja cultivar W05 scaffold5399_1, whole genome shotgun sequence.
GCAGGUAUAUCUUUCACACCCUUUUAGAGUGUGUGGUUGUUAACCACAAGGUCGGAGGUGCAAGUCCUCCUUCUAGCA